rnacentral:rRNA from 1 species
UGAGUAACACGUUGGAAACCGUGCCCCAAAAGUGAGGAAUAAGCCACCGAAAGGUGGUCUAAUACUUCAUAAUAUCCAUCUCGUAUGGAUUAAAGCUUUAUGCGCUUUGGGAGGGGCCUGCGUAACAUUAGCUUGUUGGUGAGGUAAAAGCUCACCAAGGCUUCGAUGUUUAACUGGUUUGAGAGGAUGACCAGUCACACUGGGACUGAGAUACGGCCCAGACUCCUACGGGAGGCAGCAGCAAGGAAUCUUCCACAAUGGGGCAACCCUGAUGGAGCAAUACCGCGUGCAGGAUGAAGCGUUUCGGCGUGUAAACUGCUUUAUCACCGAAGAUUAUGACUGUAGGUGAAGAAUAAGGACCGGCUAACUACGUG